CCUACGGGAGGCAGCAGUGAGGAAUAUUGGUCAAUGGGCGCGAGCCUGAACCAGCCAAGUAGCGUGAAGGAUGACUGCCCUACGGGUUGUAAACUUCUUUUAUCAGGGACGAAGCAAGUGACGGUACCUGAUGAAUAAGCCACGGCUAACUACUGGCCAGAAGCCGCGGUAAUACGUAGGUGGCAAGCGUUAUCCGGUUUUACUGGGUGUAACGGGCGUGUAGGCGGGAGUGAAAGUCAGAUGUAAAACUAUGGGCUCAACCCAUAGCCUGCAUUUGAAACUGUACUUCUUGAGUGCUGGAGAGGCAAUCGGAAUGCCGGGUGUAGCGGUGAAAUGCGUAGAUAUACGGAGGAACACCAGUGGCGAAGGCGGAUUGCUGGACAGUAACUGACGCUGAGGCGCGAAAGCGUGGGGAGCAAACAGGAUUAGAUACCCUGGUAGUC
rnacentral:rRNA from 1 species